GGGUCUCCUCACUGUCACUGAGAGGCCCUCCGUAACAGGACUUUAGUCAUCCUGGCAAACUGAUAGGACUGAGCCCUGCCCAUUUUCUUCAAAGCAGAAGUGACGCUGCCAUACCCUCCAAACACUGGCCCAGCAGCCAUGGCCCUGCCUCAGUUUCCAUCCCACGGAAGGGUCUGAAAAAUGGAACUGCCAAUACCUGUGGCAUUCACAAGGACACAGAAAGAUGCAAGGAUUUGUCCAACGUCUCAUACACUGGUCAGAUCUGUCUGUGGUCUGAGUCAGAGACCCUGAAAAAGAAAAGGCAGCCCAGGGGGACCGUGGUUCCAGAGUCCUGUCCAUCACCUGCCCUGUCCUCCCAGGACAGCAGCCAGUGGAGACGGAGCCUUACAGAGGGAAUGGUGUGUGCGGCUGUGGCCCAAAGCAGGAUCUCUCCAUCAGCUGAGAGUGGGGUGGGACAGGAGGUCAAGGCCUGAGGGGUCUACUUCUAUCCCAGCCUAGAAGGCUCAAGGUCUUGCUAAGAGAUCUAACCCCUCCCUUUCAGUCUCUUCCUGGCACCCUGGCCUGGCACCCUCUAGGAUGCAAUGUUGUUUAAUAAUUCAGCAGAUGCAGACAAAGAUAGCAGCUCUGAAAAUAACCUAACUAAGCCCCAGCCUCCAUCUCCUCUUUCCCCAGCAGACUGCCCUGCCCUUCCCCCAAGGUCUCUGGUCGCCCCAUACACCUGUCAGUGCCCCUGGCUGCCAAUGGGCACCUGGUUCAACACUCUUCCUCUU
rnacentral:lncRNA from 1 species